CAAAAGUUUGAACUUGUCAGGAGGUCUAUUCUAGGAGUACUUCUCAUUCAGGGAACAUUGCAACCACUGGGGCUGAAGACUGGGGAAAAUCCUGGCACUGCUGAAGUCAAUGGGGAAAUCCUGUCCUCACUGAAGCCAACGGGGAAUUCCCAGUAACUUCAGCAGGGCCAGGAUUUCCCCCUUUUCACUAGUGGCUCCAGGAUAAAAAACUAAGCAUAGAUUCUUAUAGGAGGCUUAGAAAUGCCAGAUACUGUUAAUGAAAUUAAUCUCUACAUGUCAUCUAGCAAGAAGCAAGCUUGGGGGGUGGGGGGGAGCCAGUCUUAUUUCAGAAAAGUCAGUCUCCAGAGUGAAUUUAGGGUUAAAGGCUAGUCAAAGCAAAUCCUCCUCUCACCUCACUAUUCAAUCCUCUCUCAAAUAAAGUAAUCUGAAGACAAAAGUGGUGCACUGGCAUUUCAACCCAUUUACAAAGGAAAAGUUUCAUCCACAGUCUUAAAUAUAAAAAAAAAUAUCAGCAUUUGGGAAACUCACUUACCACGGAGAACUCAGAAUAGCGCACGCACAUAAACCAAUGAAACAUUCAUUUUUAAUUUGAGUAGUUAUGACCCAAUGAAUUAUAUUAUAGUGUAAAAAAAAAGCUGUUAGCCUUUUGGUACUAGUACCUCAGGACUUCCCUAUGUGAAAUUCACAUAGAGUAACAAACCAGAGAAAGCCAGGAAUUAGUGAUGUGAUUUGAGAACUUGUAGUAAUUGGUUUAUUAUUUUCAGUUUUUAAUCACACAACCCAAGAGUGUUUUCCCCUUGGCCUAUGGUUCAAGGCAUGGGGGAGGGGGGGGAAGAGAGAGAGAACUGCCUCAUCAGAAACAGAGGGCUAGUUAAAAAAGGAUU